UACGUAGGGGGCAAGCGUUGUCCGGAUUUAUUGGGCGUAAAGAGCGUGUAGGCGGCCAAGCAGGUCCGCUGUGAAAACUCGAGGCUCAACCUCGAGACGUCGGUGGAAACCGUUUGGCUAGAGUCCGGAAGAGGAGAGUGGAAUUCCCGGUGUAGCGGUGAAAUGCGCAGAUAUCGGGAGGAACAUCUGUGGCGAAGGCGACUGCCUGGACCAGCACUGACACUGAGGCACGAAAGCGUGGGGAGCAAACAGG
rnacentral:rRNA from 1 species